CUCGCGGUCAGGAGAGCGCGCUGAAUGAGCCGUUACGAGAAACGGCAGCAGUGGAUGACGCAUAGAGGGCGCUGUUUGCCAAAUGAUGAGCCGCGCCUAUCAGGAAUAAUCAACCAGAGGCAAAGUAGAUGCUUGAAGAGGCCAGGUUUUGAUGUUAUGCAUAUAUAAACCAGGAGGUGGAACUGAUGCCUGAAUGCCGAGACAAAAAUGAUGGGAAAACAGAAGCCGCACGACGAAUAUUUGUUACUCUGCUGGGGUUUGCAUUCAUGGGAGGGGCCACGUAUGCAAAAGGAAGACAUGAAAUCUUAUGGUCUGCCAGUUCAAGUAACUUUACAGAAGCACUGACAUCAGCAUCUGUCACUUUGUCUGCCAUUAUGUAACACCCCCCCGAAAUCCCCUUCCAGCUCCCAGCCACUCUGAUUCCAUGGAUUGUGUCAUUGGCAUUCCGUAUUCUACCGUGUGCAUGGACAGCAGUAUGGUGCCAAUCCCACUGCCCGCUUGAGCACACGCAGGCUGAUUCAGAAUCAUUCUGUGUCUUAAAUGGGUUCUUUUCAUUCCGAGAAUCACAUCGAAGAACUGGAGACAGACACUGGUGUUAAACACUGCGGGAGCUUGCAAUUAAAUGAAUUAUUUAGGCUAUGGACCAUCUCCAUUUUCAAGAAUUAGUGUGCAGUAUCAGUAAACCUUAAAGCACAGAAUUACCAGCCUAUUAGAUCUCUGCUCGCAUCACUACCCCUAACGUCUUUGGCUUAUUAUAAUCUCUGCUUUUUGAGCUUGUAGGUUUGGCGCUGUCCCUUCUUGGCUAGCAGGCAAACACGAGACCCCUUUCCUUGAGGGAAUUGCGUCUGUUGAUCACAUGCUUCUGCCUGUCCCUUCCGUGACCUCUGACCCCUCAGGGAGCGUUUAAAUGAGAGGAGGGUGGCAGACUGGUCAGCCCUGGGGUUUUCUGUUUCUGCGUCUCAUUUUGAUGCUGGUUGAAAGCCAGGAUUCUGGCCCCAGUUGAUUGGCCCCCAGAGUGCCCCCUCCCCUGUCACUCACCGAUUCCAAACAUUUCAUUGGCUAAUGACAAGUUUGGCCCCUCCGUAUGAAUUGUGGCCACCCCUAUGCCCCCAUCUUAAAGAUCUUAGGAUUGCCCCUGCUGUGGCGCUCCCAGCCUGUGGCGAAUGCUCAUGUUCAUGUUCACUGUUCAUAUUCAGGAUCCGUACGCAGGGGUCUCUGGGCGGGCUGCUUAUUAAAAUGACAUGACUGUUGCAGAGCGCCGGCGUUAAGGGAUCAUCACGUUGCCCUGGGGUUUAUUGAGAUAAGCGAUGGGAUCAUCAAAGUGUGAUUGUUCUUGGCUCUGCCAGGUGACUGCCCAGAUUCGUUUGCAACGCGCUUUGUGCCUCAUUUAAAUUUUGAUGCUCACUCCUACGAAAGGACUAACUCAUCUGUGAAUUGCAUGUCCCAGUGGCCUCAUUCCUCUAUAUUCAUUUACAGUAGAACAUACAUUUCAUAUUUUUUGCACAAUGUUAUUGACACAUUUCUAAUAUAAAAUAAUUAACUCAAUGGAUUUCACAUCACUUUAUCAAUUCACUCAAUCAUGUCAUUGUAGCUUUGAGCUAUAGCAGAAGGCACAGUGUUUGCUCCAGAGUUUGCUCUUCUAACCUCAUUCAAGUCACCAGAGAGUAAUCUUCUGCUUAUAUGCUUAAGAAAGGAGCCUGAUCUGAAUUAUACUACAAGACAUCCUGGUGCAUGGAUGGGUGAAAAAAGCUGGUUUUUGUUAAAAGUCAGACUUGUCAUGAGAAAUGGAGUGGGAAUAAAACAGAAUUUAAACAGCAUAUAACUGGAAGGCAAACUAGAAAUGAAUGUUUUUAAAAAGCAGCUCUCCUAAAAGAACUGAACUUGAAUGUUGAACCACAGUUUUUAAGAACUGAUUUUUUAGACUGCAGCAAAGUCCAUCAAUCAAAUUAUAUAACCAUAAAUUCAAUAGGAUUUUGAACCUUUCUUAGCCUAUUCAUUUGUUUGUUGUGAGACUCAGAAAAUAGUCUGUGUUCUUCAAAAUAGUCUUUGAAGGGUUAUAGCAUAAAUAUACAAUGUCUUGGGAAAUUAUAUGGAGAAUCCAGUAUAAUUUAGAAAGAAAAAUCCAAAAAAAUUAUUACAUCAUGUUCAGCAGUACCCACUGACAGUAAUUAUAUGGUUUUAAUAGGGAGAUUAGUGUCACAUCUGUGGACCUUUUCCUGAUCCUUAAGAAAUGCUGGUUUUGCUUUCAUAAUAAUGCUCUUUACCUUGUGCUUUAAGAAUAAAGCAGUGUUGCCAUGUUCUGCAAAACACUGGGCAAGUGGAUGCUGCAGCUGAGAGGAAGAGUUCAGAUUCACUUUCUACUCUUUGUGCCAUGCAUUUUGUUUCUAAGCAUCGCUGAUGUAUUGAUGUCCAAAAGAUUUGAUGUCAUGUGACAUUCAGGCCUUAGCAGAUUUUAACUACGUGAUUUGGCUGAUAGUCCAAGCUCGAGCUAUUCUUUCAAGGUCUCGGCGCCAGCCCAUCGAGUUGUAGCUGCAUGUCUAACAUCAGUUCAACCCCCCCAACAACAAGCCUCCGACCCAGCAUCAUGCAGAAUCUACAAUGAAACGGGGAAAGCAAAGAAUAAACAGCCUUGGUCUCCUGCCUUGAAGCCCAUAACAAGAGGCUCUGUACAGUAUGUAGGGGCUCCAUCUAAAAAAACACUGUGCUGGCCACAAUUAUUUAACGUCUUCAAACUGACAACCAUGAGCAAGUGUUCUGUCAUUGACUGUAAAAUCCAGACCAUGACCAAUGAG